AUCUGCAGGGUUAUGACUCCACCCUUCCUUGGCAUAGGAAAGCGAUCAUUAAGCCACAUGUCGGAUGACAGAAGUCGUCAUUCAGGUUAUCUUGAGAACUAGGGAAGUUGGAAUUCUAAUUAUUGCAUAUGGUUCUUGAUGUUUAGCCAAUAUACUAUAGGAUUUUAAGCAUCAUGCCCAUGUGCAUUGUGGUUUUUUAUCAGCUAUAUGGUUUACCAAACUGAGGGAUUGAUUAUAGUCAUAAGUACCCUUUUCCCAUUAAUUUCUUGCAUGUGCUUUGCUGAGAUUAUGUUUUUGACAGUGCUAAUCAGGGCAAACCAACAAACAGCUUUAUGUUAACUUUUACAAACUGCCACAUUUUCAGGUUGAACGAUCAGACAUAAAUCUUGGUGAAACUAGAAGUAAUACAACCUGUGCUGUGGAGAUAAAAGAAAGGGCAGCAGCACUGGUGGCUGCAGAAAUUGAGGCAUGUAGAGACAAUAGAACCCCCGAGAUACCUCUGCAUAAGAAAGUCCAGAAAGAGUGGGCUUGUGCUGUAUGCCAGUUCACAACCCAAAGUGAAGUGACCUUCAAUUCCCACCUUCAAGGGAAGAGACAUCAGGCCACUUCUGAGCAGUUGAGAGCCAAAAACCAGGCAACCAAAACCAAUUGUUCCCCAUCUGCUUCAAAGGCCAAGAAAUCUGAUCAGUCCACCAAAGAGGAGCAACCAAAGUGUCCUUCCAACAAUCUGAAUUCCAAAAACAAUGGAAUCUCAGCUGCUUCAACAGUGAAGAAACCUGACGAGACCAAAGAUGAUGAGCAACAAAAGUGUGCAUCCAGCAAUGGACCAAACCAGAAGAAUAACAAAAAGCAAGAGGAGAAGGUGCUAGUUCUUGAGACCAAUGAGCAAGGCCAUCAGAAUAAUUUUGAUCCACGAUCCCACAUUUAUUUUGGGUCUCACAAGUUUCAAAUUUGCAGAAAAAUGAAAGAUGUUUGAGAGAAAAUUAAAUCAUAUUGCACUACUGUUAGGAAAAAUAUGGCUGAAUCCAAUUGCUUUUCUUCUCCAAGUCUAUUAAAAAUAUAAUUUUUUCUCCAUUCCUGACAAAAUUUAAAUUUUUUCCUUAAAAAAAAAAAAAUUAAGUUUGAUCACCUAACACAUCUUUCUAAACUCAAUCUCAACUUGAAAAAUCAAACCUUAAUGGAUGGACUAUAGAAAUAGUGAGAAAACACUUCUGGGGUUUUUUUUUUCUUCCAACAUCAAAUUUUUCUAUAUAUGGGAUUUCACAUGCAAAAGCAGGAGUAGAUUUGCUUGUGUUUGAUGUAUGUAUUAGAAAAAUUUGUCCCUUCUGGGAUGUUUAAUACUUUUCUAUUCUUUUAUAUGCAUGUUUAGCUAGAAGAUAUAGAAUCGAUACCAUUCCUUAAAAGUGAUAGCCACAACUGUGAUAAUUAAACACCAAAGAAUGUGAAGAUCUAUAUAUUCUUUUUUUUUUCCUCUCUCUUUCAAUAAUGAAGCUAAGAUGUGUUGUAAGCAUCAAAUGCAUUGUCUCUGCUUGAAUAUAUACAAAGCCAAGGACCACAAGAUGGAUAGAUAUGGGGACGCACAAAACUUCUCAAACAUGAUUAUAUUAAUCAAGAAUUCAACUAAGCUUAAAUUCAAGAUGUUGAUUUCUAGCAUCUCUGGUGCUAUAGGAUGACUAUUGAUCCUGUACUGUUAUGUGCCCUACUGAUAUAUUCUUCGGGUUGUUAUGUAUAAAUAAAAUUUUUGGGAAAGUUUGCUUGGUGGUUACACUAUCACUAUUUAGGCCAGUAAAAAUUGGAAGCCUUUGUAAAAAACUGAUGGUCCAAGAGCUAUUCUACUUCAUCAUCCAUGUAAUAUGACGAUACAAAUUUGACUAAAUGCAGCUAUAGAAGGCUUAGGACCAUAAACCAAGCCUAGUCGAUGUCACUCACCUAAAUUUAUGCAUAAAGCUUUUGGAUGGCUCAGAGUUAUAUUUAAUUACUGUUAUGUUCGCAACUAUAUUUUCAUUGGAUUUAUAGUCCAGCUUGAGAACUAGUCCUCCAUUGCACAUAAUGUCCACACAAGGCCACAGUGCCCGCUCAAAGGCCAUAGCGCUACUCAAGGAUAUAGUGCUUACUCAAGGCCAUAGAGCCCACCUAAGGCUAACGACCCAAAAGGAGAAAAAGGUUGGUUCCACGUACUCUAAUAUUUACUAGAAAAGGUUCUUCCUAUUAAAGAACAAAAAAUUGCAUUCCCUUGUGACCAAUCCAAACAGUAGACCACUGACUUGUAUAAGGCAUUAUUCACCAUGCAAGCACUUUUUCAGCAACCUACCAUCUGGCAUGAACCAUUUUGGAUUGAUUCACAAAGCAAUGGUGUUAUAUUAAGCAUAUUCAAUAUAGAACCAAAUUGUGCCUCCUUAGAUUAACUAAAAUAUUUCCAUUGCAAGAUGUGCAGAUAGGCAUAUGAUCAUGAAGUAAUUUCCUGAUGAUAAUACCCCACAAAAUAUUUCUUUUUCUCACUGAUCUCUCCUAGAUUUUCAGUUCACCCAUCCAUGGCGCCUGACUAAAAAUGGGGGCAUUUUGGAUACCCCGAGCAGUAAGUUAGCCUGGUAGGCAUCCCGUUGCAAGCAAAGUCAACCCGAGCGGUCCAUUUGACCAAAGCUUAUCCAGGCAGUAAGCGUCCAUAUACAGCUAACUGUUAUGCACCAUCAACAGGUUGAGGUUACAAGAUUAAAGAGUCAUAAUGGCCAAAUGGAAGUUACACGACUCGGCCUAUAUAAUAACAGUAUGACAAAAAAUGCAGGUAUGAAGAACUAUCACUGAAAAAAUUUAUUCCUAAAAAUCCUUUAAGCUCCUUUAAGCUAACUUGGGCAUUGGAGAGGUCUCUCCGAAGCACACUCGAGCUUACCUUUUUGUAAGACAUCGAGAACAAGAGGCAUUGAAGUGAUUGUCCGGAGGGUUGAACUUGGUCGGGAACCAACAAUACACACUAUUCAAAAAUAGGGAUCAUAUUAAAUUAUUAAUGCAACCAUAGGAAGCAAUUGAGGACAAGGGUGUUAUUUGAUUAAAAGGGUAAUUGAAAACCUAAAUUUUGAAAUUUAACCCUCCAUUCUAUUUGGCCUUAUGUGAACAAAAAUGCCUUCAUUAUUUUCUUGUAAAAAUAACUCACCCAUUUAAACCUUACAUGAAAAUACUUAAAAUGGUAAAUGAUAUGUUAAAAAUUGAUUAUUUUUCAAAUAAAACAUAAGAAGGGUCAAAUUCAUGAAAGGAUUAUUUCAUCCCUUUUAAUCAAUUAAUUCGAUUUAUUUCUUUUUAUUUUUUUUCUCUCCAUGUUAAUUUUCACAUCACCCAACAACACCACUCUUAAUUCACACAAGUUUGAAGUUUUUGAAUGAGAUAUAUUCGUAAUUAUAUUGUAAUUGUGUUAUAAUAACCAUUUCGUACUUGGAUUUGUUCUUUCAGUCCAUUUAACCUUUUUGUUUAUUCAUGUCAAAACAAUGUACUUAUAAUCGAAUCCAUUUAUGACAUGUUGAUCUUAUAUAAAUUUAUUAAUUUUAUAUAUUUAAAAAUUAUAAAAAUUAAAUAUACUUUUUCAAUUAUGAAUAUCAUAUUACUAAAAUAUUAAAUAACAAAUUAACUUGAAAUGCUAUAUAUUUCAUUAAUUAUUUUAUAAUUAAAACAUUAAAUGAAAUAAUAAACAAGUAUAAAAUAGAAAAUUCUAUCUUAGUUAGAAAUUAUAAACUGUUAUUGAGACAUAUAAGUAUUAAAAUUCUACCCAUUUCACUACCAAACAACUUAUGUUUUUAGUCAUAAUUUAACCUUAUGAUGAACACUUAAAUAAAAUUUGUCAUCUUUUUCUAUUGAUUUAUAUUUAUUUAUUUAAAAAUUUUGUCUGGCAUAAACUAUCAUCUCACAAAAUCAUCAUUGAUGAGUAGGCUAUGCCCCAGUGUAAGCAUCUCCAAAUCAAACAUCAAUGAGAGGAGUACAACCAAUCAUACAUCAUCUUAUCAAAAUGAAUCUCCGCUUUUCAAAGUCAUCGUGGUAACGUGAAGAGAGUAUUUGACCUCCUCUAAAGAAAAAACAUGUCUUGAUGUGAAAAAGAUCAAGCAAAGUGGUAUGCCUCAACAAAAAUGUGCUCAAACAUGAUCAUGCCCCGAUGUAAGUUAGUAUCUCUAAGAUCAAUCGCCAAUGAAAAGGUUAUUCCCCAGUAUAGGGCAAACUCUGAAAUGACUAAACUCCGUUGCAAGCUCUCAUAAGUGUCUGUGUCAUGAUCCAAUCAUCGCAAAAAUUUGUCAACAAUGAUGAGAAGGCUAUGCUCCUAUAAUCACAUCAAAGAAAUCACUCGGUCAUAUUACUCCAAUGUGAAAGAAAUCUAAUCACCUCCAAGGAACAGCUAUGCCUCAAAACCAUCAUCGACUGAGAGGGGGAUGCCCCUGAUCCAAUCACCACCCUAACUAACGUACCCAUCAUGAGGAACACUUGUUUGAGCUCCAUAAUGGGGAUCAACCAUUAGAUGAACAAGAUUCGAAUAUUACUUGCUCCCCAUUUCAACCAAUGAAUGAUGUACCUGGAAACCUUGUAGACAACCAUAGUUUUCAGCCUUCUUCCUCGCGAUCAUCUAGAACAGAGUCGGUAAGCUUCACUCAUUUCUUAUAAUGGACCUUGACCCACAACGUCGAACUACCUGUAUGCAAAAUUAUCCGUCCAGAAAACCCAUCCAUACAAUUCAGGUUCAAAACCCACAAGAACCACCCUAUGAAUAAACUAAUUAUAGCUGGCUUCGUUGCAAUAGGCAUUAACUUUCUUAUGCUGACAGUCCUAGCAUCAUUUACCAAAGGAUCAACAACUUUUCCAUGUCAGAGAACAUUAUCAAUCACAAUGACACCCCUGGUCCUCACUAGUUGCGAUAGCAAUUUAAAGUAUUCUUGAUUCAAAGGGUAAACAAAACAAAAAAGAAAACCCUAAGUGUGACUCCUUAUUUGAAAAAUGUGGUUUAUGAAAAACCGGAUCGAGCUUAGGGGUCAGGUUACUUAUCGGGAAGGUACAAAAAAAACCGUAGCACCCCUCUAAGUCCCUAAAAUGGGUCUCUAUUGAUAAAAUGAAGCAAUCAUGGCAAUUGGUAAGGAAAUCAUUGAGUAUCAACAUGAUCACACAUUGAGAGUUAAAGCAUGCAUGAGGAAUGGUCAAAGUGAGAAAGGAUGCGUACCUUAGCAACGAGUCCCAAUGCGCUAUCAAGAAAUUGGGUUAGUGCACAAUCAAUAAAUAUAAAAUAUAACACACAUGCAUCACUAAAUAGGGUAAUAAAUCCCCGAUGACAAACCUUGCACUUCACUCAGGUUUAUUUCUACUUCUCUGAUGUUGGGCCCCACCAAAGCUCAUUUUAUUUUGCAUGAAUCAACUCCAAUAACUCCAUUAUUCGGAAUUACGAAAUUUAAUUCUUGCUUAUUUUAAAGCAUUUUAAAAAUAGAGGAGAUAUGAGAAUUGCUCGCCAGAAAAGAAGAUGGCGGCAAAAUUUUAAUGAAAAACGAGUUUUUGGAACCUAAGAAAAAUGUUAAGGAUGGAAAAUUUUGGAGGUUUGAAAUUAAUUAAAAAUUAGAAUUGAGGAAUUUAUUUACAAAAUGGGGUUUAGGAAAAUUAUUUUCAAAAAAAAAAAAUGAUGAAAUGAGAGAUGGCACGUGACACAAGGGUGGCCAUGCUGAAGGCGUUCUCUUCUGGCCCAAGCUGGAAAUGCACUCCAAUUAUCCUUCUUUUCUGGUAUAACACCUUCAUCAAAAUAAAUAGCUUUUGCACCAUACUCUGAUAGACAAGGACCAAUAACAAUGCCUAUAUUUGCCUUAAGUAGACAAAGUAAGUCACCCAUUGAACCUCCAAUAUAAAUUGUCAAGUGCUCUGUGUCAUUACUGCAUCCCUCCUUCAAGAUGUCCUUAGAAACCUAAAGCUUUUCCACGACAUACUCCAUCUUCUUAAUGAUUUCACCCGUGGAAAUGGAUUCUUCACAAGCCAACUCAUUUGAAUAUACUCUCAAAACACCCAUAUCACCUGAUGAAAAUGCUGAUCUAACGAAAUCGCCACACCAACAGUAUGAAAGUCCAUGAACAUCUGCUUUCAGAUUAUUAUUUUUAAGAAUCUUUUGGAAGAAACCUGUGCAACCAUCUUGAAGAAUUAGACCUUGACCAACCUGUUUUAUAUCAUCUGAAUUUAAACCCUUCAAUACUCCAGACUGAGUCACUCUUGAAUCUGCCUUUUCCUCAAAAUCAGAAAGUUGCUCAAGUGCUUUACAUAAGCCUUCAUAAUUGAAUUUUUCCACUGUUUCACUGGGGACGAUGCUUCCCAUGCAUUUUUCAAGCUCUUCAGUAUGCUGGGUAGAUAGAACACCCCAUGUGUGUGUCCAGAUCACCAUGAGUGACCAUUUGAACCUUGACGAAUGAGAGAGUACAUAACAUUUAAGCACACAGGACAUAUAUUAACAUUCUCCAUUAGCUUCUCUUUGCCUUUGUCCACCUCUUGACCUCCCAUGCAGCCAACUGUGAAGACCACGUCCAGGUGCAGUCACGUGGUGACACAUCUCAUGGUCUUCCUCAUCCAAUAAAUCACAUGCUCUGUUAAAUCUGCUACCCGAAUGGAUACCUCCUAUCCAUCAACCUGAAUAUACUCCGAGCUUUCUUCAUAAAACCCAAGAAACUCCAGAAGGCAUCAUGGUUCUCCUCCAUCAUUGAAAUGAUUAGGGAUAGUAAAUCACUCAUCCCUUAGCAAUAUCCCAUUUUUAAACCAUAGGGUGCGUAGGCUUCUAGAAUAGUAGCAAAGUGAGCAACACGGAAAAUCUUGCGUGGAUCCAAGUUCCAUGAUGGUGAUCGUAGCCUCACCUUUGAAAUCACAAGACCCAGAACCCAUUCGUUCUUCCUGGUAAUAACUAUCAGAUGCAUAGGAGGCAGGGUUCUUCAGAUUGUUGAUUUGGUAAAAGCCUCUUCUGGUUGAACCCCUGAAUGAUUCACUUUUCUCAGUCCGCAAACCUAGUUCAGAACAGCCCGCAAGAUCAGAACCUUAACCUAGGCGUGGAGAUCCAGUGUUGUAUAACGCCUCAAUUGUCGGAAGCAGCCAUGGCCCAAACAAUGAUAUAAUGGUCAGCAAGUUGUCCCCAAGGACCAUGACAGUGAUGAGCAUUUCCGGGCAGCGCGUCACCACGUUCCACGUCGCGACGGUAAUGGCUAUGGACUGAGUGUCAUGGUCAGGGAGCUUGAUGAAGCAGGUGAAAAUCUGGUGUUUUAGAUUCUGAGGCAAUGACUGCUUGAUCGGUCGGAUUCUAGUACCGGCGUUACAUUGGGGAGGCAAUCUUAAAGUUCCAACGGAGGUAGUAGUGGACUAAUAUUCCUCAAUAACCAAACUUGAGUUUCUCACUUUCCGCUUCUCAAGGCAUUCACCUGAAACGCUUCAGGCGCCCAAACCCUUUCUGCUCAUCAGUAUAAUCACGCGCAUGAAAGUCUUAACUGCCUUCUAAACUUCACAACUUCAUCUUGCAUCUGGGUCAUCGUCGGCACGAACUUAUCACCUGAUUCAGUUAAUAUCCCCAUAUAACAAGUUCCAAUGAAGUCGCAACUUUGCAUCUUCUUUUCUGCGAUUACUUUGAUUCUCAAAGCCGAUUACUUGUUGCAGUCCAUAGGAGAUUCAAUAAUCAAACAUCAUGCACAAGCAAAAAGGCAACAAAAUACAUCGGCAUGUGGCCCAUACACCCUCCAAAAUCUUCACUCAUUUAGUAAGUUUUAGAUUCAAAAGAGUUAGCCUUCUGGUGAGCAACCCGAUACCCAUAACGAAUGAUGUAUCUGAAACACCUUUCCCACGUGGCCCUUGAAGGAUUCACUAGAAGGUGACCAUGCAUAGUAGGUCUUCACUCGCAGGAGAAUGAGAAGGAAAUAAACCUAAAGGGGGGUUGACAGCGUAGUCUAGAAGGUGAUGAGCUGAGCGGGUGGGGGUAUUAGGGUGGUCAAGUUCAGUGGGUAUGAAGGGUGGAAAGAUGGCAUGAUAGAGGAAUAAGCAGCUGAUAGUGGGUGCGAUGAUAUAAGGUAGGUUGACUAUGGAGAGUAUGGCAUUAAAGGAUGAAGACUUAGAGAGAGAGAGGUGGGUUUAAGGGUAUGGUGAGAUGGAGGGUUGAGGGUGAUAGGCUUGGAUAGUUGCAUGAGGAGGAUGAAAGGUGGGUAUGGAAAAUGUGCAUGGGUAGGAAAUGGGUAUAACAAUGGGUGUGAAUAUUGAGAGGUAGUGAAAUGAAGGCAGCCUUGCUCGUAUGGAUCAGUGUCGGAUUGAGUUAAGAAUGGUGAGAGAAAGGGAUUCGAUGAAUAUUGAAUGAUGGAAAAUGGUGAUUGGUUAGAUAGGGAUUUGUGGUCGAAUGGAAAUAGGAGACAUGAACAUAGAGAUGAGUGUGAUGGAUGAUAGUGGGCAUGAAGGGUAUUGGAUUUGUUCAUGGGUAUAGUGGUUAAAAGAGUGGUGAGAAGAAAAAAAAAUGGCCAUGUAAAUAGCAAUUAUACAUGUGGGCCCGUGAUUGCAAACGGGACUGCAUUGUUGCAUCUCAUGCUGAACCCUCACCUCCUUCUAGGAUCAUUUUCUGCAUCAAAGCUAGAUAAACUUAGAUGGUAUUUCCUGCCAAUUUUGGAUGCCCCCCACUUUGGAAAUAUUUCCUUUUCACCCAUCAGAAUAUGCUUAUCAGGUGUACUUGACUCAGGUUCAUUCCCAUAUUGCCUCUCUGAUUUAUGAUCUUCAAAGGUUUUGCAUGAAGGAAGCCUUUCACUGCAUUCCCCUUCAUCCACCAGACCUUCAGAGCAUCGUUUCCAACAAAAGCAACCUUGACUCUUCUAGUCCCAUCAGAAAAAAGUCUGAAUAUCCUCAGUUUAUGUCAUCCCUUGAUGCCCAACUCAGAAAUGAUCCAAAAAACAGUCAUCUCCCAUAUUUGGCUUCCCAGAAACACCUCGACUCAGAUGGCCAGUCCAAAUGUGAUACCCAACAUUCUAAAAAUGCUAAAAACAGAGGAGAUGAUGAAGAAAAACAGAGCAUGUAUAAAAGAAAAAAAAAAGGACUGUUAAAUCUCACUCCAUUCCAUAAAUGCUAAUGGGGUGGAUAUGGUGGAAUCAAAAGGAAGCAAGAGCGUGAUCUUCAAAAUCAAAAGCAAUGAUGGAUCCAUAUUCAAAACGUUCCAGAAUAGAGAAAGACACAAAUAAGGAGCAGGGUUUUUUUUUGUUACUGGCAGGAAGAUAUUUUUUCUAGAGAGUAACUAGAGAGAAAAAUAGGAAGAAAAGGGAAGAGCAUAGAAGACAUCUACAUAGGAGAGUAUUCAUUGUUGUGAGGAGUAGUAGAGAGCUUAGGAGGAGUUACAAAGAGAGUGAGUUUGGUUAGAGGAGGAAGUUUUGUUGGUUUUUCAGAAAGGAUUCUAGCUUGAGUGAGAGCCAUUCUAGAGAGGGUUAGAGAGGAGAAAGGUGUGUUUUGAGCAGCAAAGACACGAAGCAAAAUAGAGCAGCCAGGAAAGAGAAGCAGAAAAUCAAAAUUACUAAAAAAUUAGUGAAAGCUGUGAAAUUUCAUAUUGUUACUAAUUAUUAUAAUUUUUUUUUGUAUUUUCAAUAUUUCAACCAAUAUUUUAUAUAAUUAAAUUUAAAUUAUAAGAAUUAUAUUAUUAAUACACAUAACUAUCUUAAUGUUUUAACAAUGUAUACUUAUUUAAAUUUAUUUCAAUUUUUUUAUUUUUUUAUAAAUAUCUAAUUAGACUUAUAAUUCAUUGAAAUUAUUCAUUUUUUUUUUACUUCAUAAACCAAUUAUAUUACUUUUUGUAUUUUCAAUAUUCAUUUGGAAAAAAUAAUUUCAAUUUAAAAUAAAAUAAAUUAAUUAACUCUCAAUUUAUAAAUUGUGUCAUUGAAUUAUUUUUUAUUUAUAAUAUUUAGUUUAUUUUAAAUUUAAUUUUUUUUCUUCACCUUUUGGUUUAUCACUUUAUAUUAAAAAAUAAAAUAAAAUUGAAUUUCUUUUAAUUUAUAUUUUCACAAAUUAUUCAAUAUUUUUUUAAUUUUUAUAAAAUAAAUCCUCAGAUUAUAUAAUUGGAUGUUGUAAAGAGUUAAAAUUUUUGUGUUGCAUUGAAUUAUUUUUUCUAACAAAAGUAUAUUUGGGUACCGUAGACAUUAUAUCCAUAUCUUAACGUAUUAUAUACUUUUAUUUUGUGCAAUUAGCAAUUGAGCGGAAGACGCGGAGCCGGCUAACGGAAAUACCGCGUGUCACGCGUGUCCCUUCCCGUACCAAGUCUCAACUGCUUCAAGAUUUCCGACGCGCCCUUCUUCGCUUAACUCUUAAGUCUUUUCUUCCACUCUUCCUUAAACCCAUCACAUUUCGCCGCGUGGACCUAAGUCUCAAUGUCCUUGUGUUCAUACGAUGUAUGUUCCCCCAAUUCCUCAUCUACACUGAAACUCCAUACUCGCCUACUCAAUCACUUCUCUACUCUAGAGUCUGGAUGCUUAUCUCUGCGCGUGUCGAUGGCUCUUCACCCCAGCGAGUAUGGCAUUACAAGGGCAAUAUCGUCAUUAAAGACACAACAGAGUGUCUAUUUUAUUUAAGCUGUACGUAAUCGUGAUUGACUUCUUAGUAUCCUUUUGCUCCUAGUCUUCUCCCGCGUCUCUUAUAAAAACUAAAGAAAACCACUCCAAGAGAGCACACUACAAGAAUCUUCUUCCUUUUUUUCUUUCCUCUUUCUCUUUACAGAUAAACUGAGAAAGCCCAGCUCAUCCCUCAAUUCCCAGAUGGGUUUCAUGAAUGUUCUCAAGUUCUCAGCUGCAUGCUUUGAUCUUCUUGGCUGGUAUGUUGUCCACGCGUUUUCUUGCCAUUGGAAAUUUUUGGGAAAUGAAGUGGAAUUCUCUGUUUGAGGACAAACAUGGGAUUUUCUUUGAUUUCUCCCUGUUGGUUUUAUCUAUAUUCUUUGAAUUACCCACAUUCUUGUCAUUGAUUGUUAGUCAUUUGUUUGGAUUUCUACUUGCAGGCCUCUAUGUGCACUGGGUUAUCCUCUGUAAGUCUUGGUCUUACACCUCAAGAUAUGAUGAUUCAUUUACUCUUUUCUUGUUCUACGAAUGGUUCAGUUACAUUUAUUGUGUUGGGAAACUGAAAAGGAAAAGGAUUAUUAGUUAUUAUCGUAAUAAUCAUCAACAUCAUCUCGGUUCUUCACAGAUGUGCUUCAAUUCGGGCAAUUGAGACUAACUCAAUCUCAGACUUUCGGAAGUUGGUGGCGUAUUGGGUUCUAUUUUCCUUGAUUUCACUCUUUGAUCAUGCUUUUUCCAAGCUCCUUGAAUGGUAAUUUUGCUCAACUGCAUUCCACUAUAUGUGACUCUGUUUGUUUCAUUUCUUUGCCCUUAAGGAAUUUGGAGUUGCUUUUUUCAGUUUUCUUUCCUAUGAAAAUAAUCGAGAGGUCUCCAUGUAUUUUAUAUUCCUUCAUUUCUCUGCUUUGACAAAGGCCCACAUUCUGAUCAGCAGAAAGGUUAUAACAUUUGAAAAAGAAGUGCUUUAUUUUUGUUUUUUGUUAGUACAAUAAUUUUCGUUUGGAUAAAUGGUCUGAAGGGUGUUUGUGUUUGGCUGAGUUCAUGGAAUUUUCUAGCUAAUUUGGGAUUUAUUCUCAAUUUCAAGAUCAUUGUGGAUAUGUCAGAAAUUAAUGAAAUAUAAACGGUGGAAUGUGAUUUUCUUGUUUAAGAAAAGUUUUUCUUUGAAAAUACGGGUGCACCUGACCUACCUUAUUGUGCUACUUGGAACACAAAACAUUAGUACAGGUAAUUUAUUAACUAAAUUGUACACUUUUUGAUAGUUCAAGGAGGUGGUUUUCUUCUUUUAGGGUGUCAGCUUUGGAAAUAGGAUGGAUCUAAAAGUUUUUAUGUCUCAUCUUUAUAGGGAACUUGAAAGCAUGGAUGCACUUAUUUCCAUGGAAUUUGGCUUCCUUGAAAUCAAAUUAAGCUUUAUGCAUCAUUUGGAUGCUGAGAAACAAAUGGAAAUAGAAAAUUCAGAAUCUGACAAGUUUUUGUAGGGCAACUGGAUCUAAUCUCUUAGUCGAAGCCUAAUUGGGGCAAAUGCUGAUCAUCUUUGGACCCCAUUGAAAGCUCUAAUCUGUGCACAAUUCUAAUGUUUUUGUUUUCUUCAUUUCUUUUUCAACUUUUCACAAUAGAUGUCAAAGGUUAAAACCAAAUUUACGCAGUCCAUCCAAGUGGAUGCAUAUAAAUUUAACAGAAACUGAAAUUCGAAGAAAUUUAUUUUCCCUUUUGUAAAUGGUGUUUAAAUAUUUUAUUUUCUUAUAUAAUGCAUGUCAGGGUACCAUUCUGGCCUUACAUAAAGCUGAUGGUCAUCUGCUGGCUGGUGAUACAGCAGUUUGAUGGUUCAUAUUAUGUCUAUCAACACCUAGUUCAGCCAUGCUUGUCCAUGGAUCCACAAGCUGUCAUGAACUGGCUCUUCAAUGAAUCAAAAAAGAAGUUUCAUAGCAGAGAAAACUUUCUUGUUUCAGCAGACCGAUAUAUUAAGGAGAAUGGACCUGAAGCUUUGGAGAAACUACUUUCUAGGAAGGUAUGCCAUUAUAAGUAGGAUUAUCAACAAGUCAAACAGAGUUUUAUUUGAGAUGUUCAGGUAAAAAAUGACUAUAGUAGGUCAUCUAGAAUCAUUUGGUCUAAAUUCAUGUAUAUAUCUAUAUAUAAUUGUGUUCUCUUUUUUUCACAUAUGCAUGUGCAUUUAGAUUUACAUAAUUAUAUAUGCAUAAUCAGAUUCAACUGUGAUAGCCCGGAAUUAUUUCAGUAAUCAACUCUUCUGGGAACAUGUUGGUUAUGGUUUCUCUCUCACUGUCCUCUUCUUUAUACAUGACUUUGGCUUCAGUUGAGGAGCGCAAAGCCUAAUGUUGAAGUGAAAAAGAUCAAAGCACCUGCAGCACCGGAGAAAAAAGGGGAACAGGUAAGUUCUCUAAUGUGACUAUUUAAUUUCUAUGAGGCAGAUCCCCAGAGAAAUGUUGCUCAUGUAAAUUACUGAUGCAUUUGAUUCAAUGGCAUGGUUUUAAAAGAAAAACCACUUUAUGUAUGUUUCUGUGAAUAAGAGAACAAGUUUAUGGAUUAAAUGAUAUUUUUUAUGGUGGAUUAAUCAAUAAUUUUCAAAAUAAUAAUAUAUUCGUGCAUGUUUUUGCAAUUCAUGAAUUCCUUUUAUGAUUGAUUCUUCUUGCCUUUUUUCUCACCUCAGUGGAAGUGUGAAGAGCCUAAUGUUGCUCAAAAGGAGAUCCAAGUUGUCAAAGUAACAGAGAUAAAAAAUGGGGGGGAUGGAGCAAAGAGGGUAAGUUUUGCUUUUUAUUUAUAAAGUAGGCUGUCUUCACACAAGGAUUAUUAUCUUUAAGACAUGAAUGUUGAAUGCUUUUGGAAUUGUCCAUGAAUCAUGUGUAGUGUGAAUGGCCUAAUGCUGCUAAGAAGGAGGUCAAAGUGACAGAAGUAACACACAGAACAUUCGGUGGUACAGCACAGUGGGUAAGGUUUCAUGUCAUAUUUAAAUGGCUCCUCAUAUUUCACUAGGAUUAAUUUUGCCCCUACAAACAUAUUUGGCUACAAGUUAAGACAGAGUUCCAGAUGCUGAUAAAGUUGAGACAUAAGUAAUGAAUGAGUUUAGAAACAUGCACAACUCUUGUGUGAAACACAAUGAGAGUGGAAAAUAGCUAAGUUGAAAAAUGGCCAAAUACUAUUUUGUAGUUCCCCCUACCACUUAAGUAAUUUUUGUCAUCCUUUGUGAAUGGAAAAUCCAGUCCCUUCAGUAAUUCCGUUAUAUUCAUGACUUGGUGAAGCAUAUAACCAUUAGUGUCUUGCCUUAAGUCGACCUUUAAUGAUGAUCCAUUGAGAUGGGUCUGACUUUUGUCAACCCUCUUAUUCCCUUGAUCAUAGAGGUUAAACUUAGGGGGCUUAACCCACUUUUGAACCUUAUUGGAUAUAUGGCACAUGGUAUCCUCUUCAUCUUGAAAGAGUGAAGUGGUCAUACUCUUUCCUCUGAGUCCAUUGUGGCCAUGCACUUCUGGCCCAUUGGGCUGAGUGAAAGGAUUCCCUUCUGCUUCAAAUCAUAGAGAGAUAUGCCAUGGUCAGCCUCUUUAAUUCAAGGGAUCGAAGUACUCAAAUCCAUUUCUCUGCAUCCAUCUUAAUUCUGCAUUCAUGUCUCAUGGUUAACCAAGAAGAUCCAGCUUCCAUCCAUGAGAUCAGCAUCUGCAGGUUUAUGACACCACCCUUCCUUGGCAUAGGAAAGGGAUCAUUAAGCCAUGUGUUGGAUGACAGAAGUCAUCAUUCAGGUUAUCUUGAGAACUAAGGAAGUUGGAAUUCUAAUUAUUGCAUAUGGUUCUUGAUGUUUAGCCAAUAUACCGUAGGAUUUUAAGGAUCAUGCUCAUGUGCAUUGUGGUUGUUUAUCAGCUAUAUGGUUUACCAAAAUGAGGGACUGAUUAUGGUCAUAAGUACCUUUUUCCUAUUAAUUUCUUGCAUGUGCUCUGCUGAGAUUAUGUUUUUGACAGUCCAAAUCAGGGCAAACCAACAAACAGCUUUAUGUUAACUUUUACAAACUGCCACAUUUUCAGGUUAAACGAACAGAGAUAAAUCUUGGUGAAACUAGAAGUAAUACAACUUGUGCUGUGGAGAUAAAAGAAAGGGCAGCGGCACUGGUGGCUGCAGAAAUUGAGGCAUGUAGAGACGAUAGAACCCCCAAGAUACCUCUUCAUGAGAAAGUCCAGAAAGAGUGGGCUUGUGCUGUAUGCCAGGUCACAACCCAAAGUGAAGCGACCUUCAAUUCCCACCUUCAAGGGAAGAGACAUCAGGCCACUUCUGAGCAGCUGAGAGCCAAAAACCAGGCAACCAAAACCAAUUGUUCCCCAUCUGCUUCAAUGGCCAAGAAAUCUGAUCAGUCCACCAAAGAGGAGCAACCGAAGUGUACUUCCAACAAUCUGAAUUCCAAAAACAAUGGAAUCUCAGCUGCUUCAACAGUGAAGAAACCUGAUGACACCAAAGAUGAUGAGCGACAAAAGUCUGCAUCUAGCAAUGAACCGAACCAGAAGAAUAACAAAAAGCAAGAGGUACAGACCAAUGAGCAAGGCCAUCAGAAGAACUUAAAGCAAACUGGCGAUGGAAUGAAAGAGUUGAGAUUAUGCUGCAAUAUCUGUAAUGUAAGCUGCACAAGUGAGCUUGACAUGGCCUCUCAUCUCAAUGGAUGGAGGCACUUUAAUAUGAUAAAGGAGGCGUCUGAAUUAUGGUGCAGUAACUGCAAUGUAAGGUGCAACAGUGAGGCUGUCAUGGCCUCUCACCGAAAUGGGAGGAGGCACUUGAAGCAGCUGAAGGAACGGUCGGGAUUAUAGUGCAGUAUCUGUAGCGUGAGAUUGUGUUAGGAAGAGGUGGAAUGGGUUCCAAUCAGGAAUUAAGACUCGGUUCCAAGACAUGGAAAGUGUCUUUAGAUUAUGUUAUCUCCAUUUUUUUUAUUGUGAGAGGGGAGUAUAAGGAAUGAAAAUAAAUAUAUAUAUAUUUUUUAAUAGAGAUGAAUUUGAUAAUUUUAAUUAUUGUGUUUUGAUGUAUUUAGGAAUGUAAAAUUAAAAUAAUUAUUUAUUUUCAUUUUAGUAUUUGACAAUAAUAAAAUUAUGAAUUAAAAAAUAAUGUGAUAAUAAUACAUUUAUAUUUAAUUUAAAAUAUUUUUUAUUUUAUUUUAGAAGAAUAUGGGUUAAAUUCUUUUUUUAAAUAAUAAGCUUAAGAAAAAUAAUUUUUACUCAAUAAAUAAAAUUAAUCAUAAAAAGUCAUAACAACCUAAUAAAAAUAUAGGGGUAAAAUAAUAAUUUUAAAAUAUUAUUUAAGUUAUCCAAACAAAUUUGACUCUUCAUUCUCUCUCUUGAACCAAAUACGGUCUUUUAAGCGUUUGUCAACUUAUUUUUUUUUGCAAAAUAUCAAUAUUUUACUAAUAUUUUUAUCGAUUAUUUGCCAAUAUUUAUCGCCACGUCACCAAUUCUUUGAGUUUGACUUUCAAAAUUUUGAAAUGAUAUUUGAAGUCCAGUUCAGCCCAAAUCACUACACCCAUGAUUUUUCCCUUUUCUUUUUCUCCUUAAUUUUCACAUCACCCAACAACACUACUCUUAAUUCACACAAAUUUGAAGGUUUGGAACGAGACUUCUUCCUAAUUAUAUUGUAAUUAUGUUAUAAUAACCAUGUCGUAUUUGGAUUUAUUUAUUCAGUCCAUCUAAAUCUUUUGUUUAUUCAUGUAAAAAGAAUAUAGUUAUAAUCGAAUCCAUUUGUGACAUAUUCAUCUUUUAUAAAUUUAUUAAUUUUAUAUAUUUAAAAACUAUAAAAAUUAAAUAUAUUUUUUCAAUUAUGAAUAUCAUAUUACUAAAAUAUUAAAUAACUAAUUAACUUGAAAUGUUUUAUAUUUCAUUCAUUAUUUUAUAAUUACAACAUUAAGUGAAAUAAUAAAUAGGUUAAAAUAUAUAUUUUAUUUUAGUUAAAAAUUAUAAAUUGUUAUUGAGACGUAUAACUAUUAAAAUUCUACCCAUUUGACCAUCAAACAAACAACUUAAGUUUUUAGUCAUAAUUUAAGCUUCUGAUAAACUCUAUUUCCAUAAAUUAGAAACCGAAAUCAAUUUCUUCUUAGACUCAAAAACAUAAAGACAAUCUUUUAAUUCUAGAAGACAUCUAUCAUUUAAGAUAAGGGUAACAUAUCCCAUUGCCUAAACAACAACUCUUGCUUCAAAAGCCAAUGUCAAGUACAUAUCCCUAUCAUUCAACCUUUCCCUUAGCUAAAACCCCUAUAAAGAAUUAUAAACAUAAUCAAUGGCUCCAAAAUUUAUCCACCAAGAGUUAGUGGAAUCCAACACUAAACAUAAUUCAACUAUAAGAGAAUGAUGCAUAGUUGACUAUCUCUUCAAGAACUAAGGACAUUCCUUCUUCUUCUAAUGGCAUUUUUUACCACAAAGGAAACACUUGUCAUGACCCUUACUCUUCUUCUUCUUCCCCUUAGCCUUAAACUUCCCCUUCUGCUUGAUGAACUCUAUAGUGUUCUUCUUAUUUUGGCUAGAAAAACCUAAAGAACCCUUAACUGCCAUAUAAAUACCUCUCUGGUCCUUGAGAAUUCCCUCAGUCAUUUUGUGUUCUCUCAUUAGUUCAAUUGUAGUUUAAGAAAAAUAAUGUUUUUUAUUUUAUUUUAUGUGAUUGAACUUGGAAUGAAUUUCCAAGUUGCAUACAUACUUGGGUUGAGAUCAAGUCAUAACGUAGUUUAAGAAAAAGAUUUUUUAUUUUUUAUGUGAUUGAACUUGGAAUGAAUCUCUAAGCUACCUACGUAUCCAAGAUGGGAUCAAGUUCUAACAUAGUCACAAUGCAGUUCAAGAUUUUUUUUUUUCUUUUUUUGUGCUCUAACUUUUGUCAAGACUAAAGAUCUUAAUCUUGCAAGCAUGUCCUAACUUUUGUCUAGGUCACCUUUCCAAGUUUUCAACUUAGCAAACAUUUUUUUUUUUUGUUCUCUAACGUUUGCCAAGACAAAAGAUUUUAAUCUUGCAAGCAUGUCAUAACUUUUACCUAAGUCAGAUUUUUAGGUUUUCAAUGUGGUGGAUUUUUUUGUUUUUUAUUUUUUAUUUUUUAUUUUUUGUGUCGUAGGCAAUUUAGCUCAUACGGCCCAGAAGCGAUGUGUAGUUUGUUGGGAUUCAACCCUUAAAAGCAAAACAUGAUGUAACAAAGUUAGACUUAACUAUCCCCUUGCUAUCAUUUUGGUGUAUUAACAUUGAUUUAAACAUUCAACUCAUAUUUUACAUUGUACAUGACUUAGGUGCAUUAGGAGUUGCUCAUAAGAUACAUGGAUUCCUUGUAAGUAGAUGAGUUAUCCAUAGUCAGUUCAUGGAUUUGGGCAAUCUAGUAGAGACUGUAAUGCACCACCUCUUAAUUGAAGAGAUGACUUGUCUUGACAGUUGGGAUAGGUUUCCUAUGGUGAGUGCACUAGUAUAUAUGAUGCACAUUGGAUAGGACCUACGGUAAAUCAUGAGCAAAGCUAUCAAUUGUCAUGAUUCACCAAGUUACGAUACUGCAUGGACUCUCAAUCUUGAGAGGACAUUGAACCUGUGCCAAAAUCAACAAAAAGCUUUCACCUAUAGAUGAGACCUUAAAGUGAUCAUAUAUCCCUAUGGAUUGAGUCACUAUUGAUGAAGGUUGGUGGUAAUAGGUAUUCUCAAUAGAGGCACCAUGAUAUCUCAUGAGAUUGAGACGGUGUGUCCCCUUGGGUGAUACAAAGGACAUGUGAUCAUAAAAUCUGUGACCAUAGUAAUUCUUUUAUUGAAAUUUGACAUAUACCCCUUCGAGCUAGAGUAUGUCAGUUGAUUACAUAAUAAGUGGCAUCUAUAACUUAAGGAUUUGAGAGGUAAUCUUGAUAGGUGAUAGCACUACCUUGUUAGAUUAUGGACACCAGUUCAUGGGGAAUCUACAUGCAGUGGAUGAUAUGUCACGAACGCGAGCUUCAUAUCGUUGUUAUUAACAUAGGAUACUGGAGUGCAAUUGAUUCUCUUUAGUAGAAUGUUGAAUCAACUUCAAAAUGGAUUAUGAGGGAGCCAAUACUCCUAUGGGUCUUAAUGGUCCCCACUCUGAGCUCAUAUACCAUGAUGACACAGUUUAUGAGGGUUUGAUUGGCUUUAUGUUCAUUUUUGUGCAUAAGGGCAUUUUGGUAAUUACACAAGGUUACAUAGGGGAUAGUCAAUAAGGUCUUUAGAUUGGGCCAAUUGAUUAAUUAGAUGACCUUAUGUGGUUAAUUAAUCAAUUAUGAUAUGUUUAGGCUAGAUUAAAUGACCCAAGCCUUGAUGAAUUUAAGUCACUUAAGCCUAGCAGAUAACCUUAUAAAUACCCUCUUAUGGGUUAGGGUUUCCUAAUGACUUUCAGUUAAUCAUCUUCCAUCCCUAGAAAGAGAAAGAGAGCCAAAUCUUUCUCCCUUCCAUUGCCCACACUUUGGUAUGCCAAGAUCAUGGUUCAAGUCACUGGGAGGAAGAUCUUGGGUGUACAAGACCUUCGGACUCUUUAAGUUUCUUCUUCGUUGGAUGAAUUUUUAUUUGGGACACAUCUAGAUCAUAAGUAUGUGUUAGAAAAUUUGGCUAAUUCAACUUAAGGUAAUCACUCUAGAGGAGGGGUGAAUAGGGUGAUGAUCUUUUUUUACAAAUUUAAAUUAUGUGAAUGCAAGAGACAAUUAUACUAUGCAAAUAUAUAGUAAAACCAUAUAAAAAUAAUUGCAUAUAAAGUACAAGGGUAGAAAAUAGAGAAUAUAAACACAAGAUUUUUAUAGUGGUUUGGUGCAACUCGGCCUACAUCCAUUCUCCUCUAGCUUCAAUCCCAAGUUUGAGGUUCCACUAAUUCAAGGCUUCCAACCUAACCCUUCAAGCAAUACAAUUGGAUUAUGGUUCCAAUCAAACCUUUUGGACUUUUGGCUCUAAGCACCUUUUACAAUCUUUGAUUCGUGCCUAACUGGUGUUUGCCCUGUUGAUUGGUGUUCAAUCAACUGAUGUGCUUUGAUUUCAGUCCUCAGACGAGAGUAAUCAACAAAAUUUAUAAACCUAUUUCACCAUAUACUAGGGUAGCAUUAGCUAGCAUAGCAUAGUGGCUCUAGGAUCGUCCACAGGGAUGGGUUUUCAAAUUACAAUUGAUAUUAGUUCAAAAACUGAAUUGGUGUUUUUUCUUUUCAAGGUUAGCUUUAAAAGAAAACAUAAGUAUGUGUGAAAAGGUUGGUUUUAAGUGAAACCAAAAAUAAAGUAACUGAAAUUACUUACAAAGAAAAGUGCUUCUUGGAGUUUUAGAUCACUAGGCUCAAGUUCCUUAUACAAAAAGAGAGAUUCCGAUCACUUGGAUCUUUUCCUAGCAUUGGGGAUUUAACAUAUAGUUAUUUCCCGAACCGGUGCGGUACAGAUGCUUCCCCUUAAUGGUUUCAAACACUAAAUCUCUAUCACUGAAUCAUCUUGUAAUGGUUCAUACCUCUCACCUGGUAUUGGUCAUUUAAGGUGAUCAUUAACCUUGGAUUACCCGUCAAAAGCUCGCAAAAGAUAACUAAUGAAUGUCUCCUAGGAGUCCAAAAGCUUACCAAGUGUUGGCUAUUCUAGAUAAUCCUACCUUUAAACCAUCUCCCAAAAGCUCGCAAGAGAUAAACUAGUGGAUCUCAAUGGACGGAGUCCACUUGCCUUACCAAGUGUUGGCCCAAGUGAUUUUAAGGGAUUUUAAGUUAACUAAAAAGAUAAAAACCAUUAACGGGUCACACUUUCUCUUCAUUAAAACCUGAAACAAUGAAACUUCCACUUUUGUAUACGAAACCUUACCUAGCUUCCUUCACUCCAAGAAACAAAAAGCCUAGCCACUCAUCCUCUAGGAAAACAUCCUCAGAGUUUGAUUUGGUAGAAAUAAAAAUAAAAGAGAAAACCAAAUGUGAAGGUAAGGCCGAGCAGAGCUCUGUGUAUUACUUUAUGAAAAACUAUACAAAAUUUGUCUCUAAGAGAAACUCCCCCGAGAUCUCUUUUAAAAGAAAAUUACAAUAGAUAUCAUAUAAAGAGGCUAUUCACCCCUCUUGCUAACUUCCCAACCAUGAAAACUUGUCAAUGGUGGGUUACAAGGAGAAAAUAGGGAUUUACACACAAAUAUUUGAAGAUAAACAUCAAACUGAGUCGGUGCGCAAAUAUCUCAGAUUACAAGUGGAUUUCGCAAGUUCAAACGCAACUUGCAAAAAUUUUGCAAGUUGAAAUUAUGGUUUCGCAAGUUGCGAAAUUGUCCUGCAACUAAUCAGCUCUCUGUCCUACAACAAUUCCUUUCCUCUUCCUAUUUCGCAAGUUGUGAGAAUUUCGCAAGUUGGAUUCCACAACUUGCAAAAUUGUUGGAUGGUUGAUUUCUUUUGUGAUUUUCUUCCUUGCAUCCUCAUUUGGCUUUGGCAAAGGGUUAUGAAGCUCCAAAGCUUAGUUUCUUCAUGAAUUUGAGCUUCAACUUGCUUUGCCAUGAACUAUACAAAGAUCUCCCUCAUUCUUGGAUUGCUUUGGUGAUAAAAAAGCUAUGAAAAACACCAAAACUUAACACAAUUUGAUUAGAAACGAUUGUAAGGGUCUUUAACAUGCCAAUUGAGUUAAAAGGUAAUAGCUACUACUCAAAAGUGUUUAAAAGAGUUAAUUACAAGCUAUAAAAUGACCCUUUUUGAAGUUCAACCCCUUAAGUGAUACCCCUUAAGUGAUACCCCUUAAUUCAAGAGAUGUCUUACUCUUAAACAACCCCUUAAGUGAUACCCCAUACUUGAGAUUCCCUAAGUGAUGCCUCACACUUAGAUUUUUCAUCUCAAAGAUUUACAAAUGAAGAUAGGAAAUAAUCUCACAAAAUCUUAAUACAAAACAUUAGGCUCAAAUGAUACAAGAUAAACUAUGAUUGAAUGGUGCACUAAUAAUAUGCAAGUUUUAAAACAAUGAGUACUAAAAAACACUCUCCUAAGGUUCAAAUAUAUUCAAGAAAGAUUUAAGAAGGUUAAACUCUUGAAACAAUAAAGAUUGAAACCUUUUUAUGGAGGAGAAAUGCCAAACUAGUUGUUGGGGGUUUGUCCAGUCGAGUUCUGGUUUGACCGGUUCACUAACCGUUAGCAUUUAAUGCAUGAUAGGUGAUCAUUGGGCCUUGACCAUCCCUCGACCAGUACUCAACCGGAUAAAGUUCAACCUUAAUCAAUCGAAUAAGCAUUCUAGAAUAGAGAGAAGGUUUUUGCACCUUUCAAUCAGUUGAGUUGAACAAAUAGACGGAUUCCUUAUCCAGUUCAACCGGUUGAGCCAUUUUUGGCUCAACAAUCAUCAUUUUCAACUUAAAACCUUUUAAACAAGUUUAGAAAGCAUUUGACACAAGGAUUUAGUUGAAAACAUUAAAUCAUCCUAUUUUUAAAAGAUUUAAAACAAAAUACCUCUUGAAUGAUUUUGGUGUAUAAGUAAAUAAUGUAAUGCAUGAAAAACCCAGUGCGCCAACAACCUUACAAAGAGAUCUUAUGAGGCUUAGGUAUUGAAAAACACUUCUCUUUAAGGCAGACAACAUCGUGUGAAUACCAAAGGGGAACUCUACGUUCCUAGGGAAAGAUGCCUCGUCAGUACGUCUUGAGGUUGUUCACUAACUUCGGGGUUACCGGCUUUGAGAGGAGCCCUUUGAUGACAUUUGGGCAUGCAACUCUUCAUUUUCUUCCUUGAUUCGCCUUGUUUGGUGGAUCAAAGAUUGCAUAUGCCAGUCAUUUUUGCACUAGGUUCUCUCCAUGCUUUCACGCCAGCCAAAGUAGCUUUCGUUACCCAUAGUUGAGGAUCGGCUUCUAAAGGGUACUAACAUCCUUAGUCAUUCCCACAGAUGACACCAAUGUUGGUUCUGAGUCGGCUGAAGUCAAAUUCAUCCAACUUAACGGAAGUUUGACAACCUUCCUCCAUUUUUUGUGCCUCUUAGAGAAUCCACCUAGCAGUAAUGAGAUUGGGCGAACUCCUUUCUUGCACAAAAGAAUGUUCAGAUGAGUACUUCGGGUACGCCCUUCGAAGCUUAAGUGAGGCAAAAAUAGCUCAAACUACUUAAUGAGAGAGAGUGGAUAGGUGAAUAUGUGCCUACCUUGUUCGUGCUUUUUGAGGGGUUUAUAUAAUGUUGAUGAGAAUGCCACUAUAGUGCUUACUAGACACUUUAACUUUCUUCUAUAAUGAUGAUUGUCUUGCAGGCGGUUGGGCAAUCAUCAAAAUUUUGGGUGGCUGAUAGGUGCCAUCAACUAACGUGCCAUGAUCUUAGACCAUGCAGUAACCUGUUCCCUCAGUCUGUUGAUGGCCUAAGGUUAUGUGCAACAAUUAAUUGACAUGGACUUGAGGGCUAGAAGAGGUCCCAUCGGCCGUUCACAUGUCAAGUGUGAAUGAUCACUCAUGCUAGUGGGUCUUGAAGAUUUGACUAGACAACCUUACCUAUUUGGGAGGUCCAACCUCCCAUUGCCGUUGUUUUGGCCUUAUAGGAGAAAAGGGCUUUCUCAUGUAUGGUGCUAGAGGGACUAGUCGUGAUCCAGAUGAGUUGCAUACCCAUGCUAGAUGGUCGAAGUGUCCGGGUUGGAAAUGGAGGGAAGCCUCCCACAAAUAUGAGGGAGCCUUAUGAAAACGGAUCCUUAGGGCUUAAGAAGGGGUUUUCAAUUUUAAGGUUUGCCUUUUCACCCAAGGAUGUGAAUGGGAAGAUGAGGCGAAGUUAAAAGAUUGGUGAAGCAAAGUGAGGGCAAGGUAGGGUUUGAAUAAAGGAAAGUAUACACUAUUAAUGAAGAUGAUAAUCUCUAGAAAGAAAAACUAAGGUAAACUAGGGCUUUAAUAAUAAUUUUCAAUCUACACUAGUGAAGAGGAUAUCUUCGAAAACCAAAGUUAGGGCUUCAAUAACGAAUUUCAAUCUACAAUGGUGAAGACAAUAAUCUUCGAAAACCAAAUCUAUAAUGAUGAAGAUGAUUGAAAACUAAAUCUAUACUAGUGAAGACGAUUGGAAAGCAAAUCUACACUGGUGAAGACAAUGAAACCAAAUGUAGGUCUUCUAAACUAAACGCUUUUAAGGAUUUUCCUUUUUUUUUUCCUUUGUUUUCAAGAAAGGCAAACUCUUUAGAAAACUAAAAAAACUAAUGCAUUCUUAGAUCCAGAUCACUAUUUCCAACAUGGUAUUUGGAUUGCCAGCUUGCAUUUUUUAUUUUUUUAUUUUUUUAAUAGUCAUUGGCAUUUUAGGGAUUAUUGAAGGAUAAUAUCAUUCAGCUCAAUUUCCCAAAUUAGUUAGGUCUUACACUCAAAUGUGAAACUUAUAUGGAUGUUAGGCCAAUUAUCAAACUCAUCUGCCCUAAAACAUAAUUUCCCUUUUUUAAAAUAGUUGUUAAACAUCUAUCCCAAACACGUUUAACCCUUUGAAUUGCUUGUAUGUUAACCUUGUUUCCUUUUCUUCAUGCAACAUGGCUUAUUGAUGGUUGCAUUGAAUCAUUAUCAUUCACCAAUUCCAUGCAACUAUGGACUACAUUUCAAAUCCCUCGAACAUAAAUGGUAAUUCCAAAACAACUCAAGUAUAAUCUUUUCAACCCUUUCAAAUGAUUUAAUUAAUUGAUUUUUGAAUAUAUUCAUAUAUUUUUUUGAGCAAUUUUUAGGCAUAUAACAUAAAUCUCUUUUUUAUAUAUAUAUAAAAGGUUUUAUAUUUUAUAUUACAAUUUCCUUUUGUUUUUUCAUCUAAAAAACAAAACAUAAAACCUUAAUAAACGAGUUUUGUCACAAUCCCUUAACAAGUAAUCUAUUUUUUAAAUUACUUUAACAUUUUUAGAUAUAUUGAUUCAAUCUAAUUUACUUUUAAUAUUUUUUAUAAAAUAUUUUUACUUUAUAUGACUAUAAAUUAAUUACUAUUGAUUGCAUAUUAUAGAAUAUAUAUUCUAAAAUAUAUCUUAUUGACAAUAUAAUCAUAAGAUGUUAUAUCCAUAUCCUAACAUAUUAUAUACUUUUAUUUUGUGCAAUUAGCAACAUGGUGGGAAGUGGCAAGCAGCUUAACGGAAAUGUCAUGUGCCAAUGUGCCAUGCGUGUCCCUUCCCUUAGUGAGUCUGAACUGCUCCAACAUUUCCGACAUGUUAUUUUUUACUUAGCUCUUAAGUAUUUUCGUCUCGUUUUCGUUAACCCCAUCACAUUUCGCCACAUGGAUCUAAGCCUCAUGGUCCUUUCGUUCGUACAAUGAAUGUUCCCCCAAUUCCUUAUCUACACUAAAACUCCAUACUCGCCAUCUACUCAACCACUUCUCUACUCUAGAGUUUGGGUCCUUUAUCUCUGCACGUGUCUAUGGCUUUUCACCCCAACAAGUAUGGCAUUACAAGGGCAAUAUCGUCAUUAAAGACCCAAAAGGGAAACCAAUGGCAUUAUCUUCCUUUUGGUCUAUUCUAUUUAUAUUGUAAGUUAUUCGUGAUGACUUCUCCCAUAAAAGCUAAAAACCACUCCAAUAGAGCACACUUCACUUCUUCAUUUUUUUUUUUCCAGAUAAGCUCAGAAAGCCCAGCUCAUCCCUCAACUCCCCGAUGGGUUUGAUGAAUGUUCUUAAAUUCUCAACUGCAUGCUUUGAUCUUCUUAUCUGGUAUAUUGUCCACGCAUUUUCUUGUCAUUGGAAAAUUUUGGAAAAUGAAAUGGAAUUCUAUGUUUGAUGACAAAACUGGGAUUUGCUUUGAUUUCUCCAUGUUGGUUUUAUCCCUUUUGUUUGAAUUGUCCACAUUCUUGUCAUUGGUUGUUAGUUAUUUGUUUGGAUUUCUACUUGUAGGCCUCUGUUUGCACUGGGUUAUCCUCUAUAAAUCUUGGUCUUACACACCAAGAUAUGAUGAUUCAUUUACUCUUUUCUUGUUCUAUGAAUUCUUAGUUCUGUUACAUUUAUUGGGUUGGAAAACUGAAAAAGGAAAGGAUUAUUCGUUAUUAUCAUAAUAAUCAUCAACGUCAUCUCAAUUAUUCACAGAUGUGCAUCAAUUCAGGUAAUUGAGACUAACUCGAUCUCAGACAUUCAGAAGUUGGUGGCAUAUUGGGUUCUAUUUUCCUUGAUUUCACUUUUUGAUCGUACUUUUUCCAAGCUCCUUGAAUGGUAAUUUUGUUCAACUUCAUUCCAUCAUAUGUGGCUCUAUUUGUUUCAUUUCUUUGCCCUUCAGGAAUUUGGAGUUGCCUUUUUUAGUUUUCUUCCCUGUGAAAAUAAUCGAGAUGUUUAAUGUUCCAAGCCUCCAUGUAUUUUAUUUUCCUUCAUUUCUCUGCUUUGAUAAAUCCCCAUGAUUUGAUCAGCAAAAAGGCUAUAACAUUUGACAAAGAAAUGCUUUAUUUUGGUUUUUUAAGUACAACAAUUUUCAUUUGGAGAAAUGGUCUAAAGGGUAUCGGUGUUUGGAUGAAUCAUGGAAUUUUCUCGCUAAUUUGGGAUUUAUUCUCAAUUUCAAUAUCAUUGUGGAUAUUUCAAAAAUUAAUGAAAUAUAUAUGAUGGAAUGUGAUUUUCUUGUUUAAGAAAAGUUUUUCUUUAAAAAUUUAGGUAACCCUGACCUACCUUAUUGUGCUACUCGAAACACAAAACAAAAGUACAAGUAAUUUAGUAACUAAAUUGCACACUUUUUGAUAGUUCAAGGAAGUGGUGUUAGCUUUGGAAAUAAGAUGGAUCUACUAGUUUUUAUUUCUCAUCUUUAUAGGGAACUUUCCAUAAUAUAGCUUAUAAAUACCAUAAUCACAGUGAUGAAUAAUUGUCUUGUUUGAAAGCAUGGUUGCACUUAUUUGCAUGGAAUUUGUCUGCGUUGAAAUUAAAUUAAGCUUUAUGCAUCAUUUGGAUGCUGAGAAACAAAUGAAAAUAGAAAAUUCAAAAUUUGACAAGUUUGUGUAGGGAAAUUGGAUCUAAUCUCUUAAUCGAAGCUUAAUUAGGGCAAAUGUUGAUCCUCUUUGGACCUAUUGAAAGCUCUAAUCUGUGCACAAUUCUAAUGUUUUUGUUUCCUUAAUUUCUUUUUCAACUUUUCAACAAAGCAUCAAUUUGCUAUAAUAAAUGAGAACCAACUUGACGAUGAGAAAAAUGACUGGUGAUGAUGUCAUAGAGAAUCGCAGAUGAGAACAACCAAAAAUACUAGGAUUGGUACCACUGAUGGUAAUGAAGAAAACACAAAAAUGGUGCAAAUGGUGAACAGGAAACUCAAAAUGGAAUGGGAAAAGAAACCUAAACAAUAGUCUCCUAUAUAAAGCACACAACAUGUACAUCGAGGCAUCUGAAAGGACACGCUGCCUGAGAAGUCACUCUAAUUGAUGUGACUCCUCAUGACGUGGGUGGUGGACAUAUGUCCCAUGGUGCCAAAAAUUUCAAACACUCAAGCAACCGAAUACUUUCACUUAGUCAUUUAAAGCCUAGCUAGACUCAAUUGCAAGAAUUAAGGGCAUUGUGGGAUGCUCACCACCGUCUAUCAUGGUCCUCAAACACUGUCUGGUGUGAGACAUAUUGGCACAAGAGCCAUGUAGCUUCUCUAUCCACCCCAAGAUACUCCUAGGGUAGCAAACGAACACAAUCCGACCAAACACUAUGCAUUCCUACCCUACAAGCAUUAAUUUCAAUGAGCAAUAAGUGUAUUAACACAUUAAUGAAUGCAACCGUUAUAACGCUAAAACGCCAUACUUUAAGGUUCAUCAAGACACAACAACCAUUAUGGGCCGACAAUUAUUGGCGUUAAAUAUGGUAAUGCGCAAUCAAAGGCUCAAUUAAGGCCCUUUAGAAGACGUUACUAUUGGGCAAAGAUAAAUAACCAUUUUUUACCACAAGAAAGUCUGAUGCCAUUUUUUUCACAAAAACUUUUGCUUAAGUCUUCCAUCUCUAACCUAAGCUUUGAAGGGGUGUACUUGGAAAACCUAUCCGAACAUUCCUUUAUGUAGGUGCAAUCAUCGUUUAUGUCACGCGAAGGCUAGUCAAAGACCUUUAUUGGUCGUGCACCAAUAAAUCUAUUUAGUAUAUCUCAUUUAUCCGUUCAAGUGAGAUGAAGGAGUGACCUAAAGAUAGAUUGGAAACAUCAUAGUUUCUUAUAUUGGUAAGGCAGCAACAACCUCGGCUAGUGCAUCAACCUGCUCGUUUUCCUCUAGGGGUACGCGUUUGAUAAACCAUUCAUUCAAUUUUUCUGUUCAAGUGUACCAAAGAGAGGUAAUGAGCCAUGCAUUCAUCUCAAGCUUCAUAUUUUAGUUAGAUUUGUUCACCCACUAGUUGUGAAUUGCUUUUGAUUUCUACUUUCAUGGUUGUGAGAGCUAAGGCUAGAUCGUCUCAUAAGAAUUGCUUCAUAUUUUGCCUCAAUAUUAGAUACUGGAAAGUUGAGACAGACGACUUGUUCAAUUUGCUCUCCUGUAAGGAAUUGUUGUGUUAGUCCUAUCCUAGCUUCUGAUGUUCUAGAGGCUUCGUCUACAUGGAGAACACGCCAUUGUUCUUCAUUGUUAGACCUUGUCCAUUUUUGGGGUGGUUCGACUAUGAAAUCAAUGAGAACUUGCUAUUUGAGAUACUAAUGAGGUUUGUACCGUAUGUAAUAUUCACUCAAUUUGAUUGCCCAAUUCACCAUUCGACUAGAUAGAUUUAGCUUGUGCAACGUGACCCACAACGGUUGAUUUGUCAAGACCGUUAUUUGGUGCGCCUGAAAAUAUGGACAAAGCUUCUUGGCAGCGAUCCGUAAGUUCAGAGCCAUUUGUUCCACUUAAGAAUAUCGUGUUUUUGUGUCAAUCAUAGCUUUUCUCACAUAGUAAAUAAGUCUUUGUUCAUUACUCUAAUUGUGUGGAAACAAUAUGACAUUGACAGCAAAGUUUGACACAACCAGGUACAUGUAUAACUCUUCUCUAGCUUCAAGACUACUUAAGAUUGGUGGCUUCGUAAGAUACUGUUUGAUGUCUUUAAAGGCAUGCUCACACUCAUCCAUCUAACUAGACAUCUUUGCUCCCUAGAGUUUGCUCAAGAAAGGUCUGAGCUUAUUUAUGAAGCGUGUUAUGAACCAACCUAAGGUGAUUAGACACCCAGUUAGACGUUGCACUUCCUUCUUGCUAGUAGGAGCAGGGAUUUCUAACACUACUUUCACUUGAGCCAGAUCGACUUCAAUACCCCCUUUGAGUCACCAUGAACACAAGAAACUUCCACUCACUUACUCUAAAUGCAUAUUUUAUUGGAUUAAGCUUCAUGUCAUACCUGCACAUUAAACUGAAUGCUUCUUCCAAAUGGAGGAGCUUCUUGGAACGAGUUAUUCUCUUAAUGACAAUGUCAUCGAUAUAGACUUCCAACGUUCGACCUAUCAAGGGCUUAAAAAUAUGGGUCAUCAACUGUUGGUACGUAGCUCCAAUGUUCAUUAACCCAAGCGACAUGAUCUUGUAAAAGUACAACUCCUUAUGUGUAAUAAAUGUCAUCUUCUCUUUGUCAUGUGGAAACAUUGGUAUCUGGUGGUAUCCAAAAGAAGCAUCAAGAAAAGACAACAUUCCAUGCCUGGUUGUGGCAUCGACUAUCUAAUCUAUCUAGAGCAAUGGGAAGCUAUCUUUCAAGCAGACUUCAUUCAUAUCCACGUAGUCUGCGCACACCUGCCAUUUUUCUCCUUUCUUGGUACCACUACCACAUUUGUUAACUAGUCCAAGUAGGUCACCUCCUUGAUAAAUCUUCCUUUUAAUAGCUUCUCAACUUCUAUCUAGAUAAUUUUUUGAUGAUCCAACUAGAAACGUCAGACUUUAUAUUGUAUGGGUCGUGCUGUAGGAAGAAGGUUCAACUUAUGAGAGCUCACCGCUAGGUCUAUUCCAAGCAUUUCCGAAUGAAUCCACACGAGGAUAUCCUUGUUUUUACAAAGCAUUUCACCAACAUUACCACAUUCAUCCCUAGUUAGCAAAAAAUUAGCGUAAGUCAUCUGCUUAUUAUUUUUCGACAAAGAUAGCUAUUGUAAUAGGCUGAUUGCCAAUGAGUCUCUAUCCUCUAGUUUUCCUUCGACCUAAUUCUAUAAUUGUUAUUAGCUCUCUCUUGAUGAUUUGAGUUCAUCUUUAGUUGGGCCUGAACUCCAUCGCCACUUAGUAACACUACUAGGUGGCUAAUUGGAUUCCAUGUGGAUCCACUUACCCAAAUUCUGUCAGGUAGCUCACCAUCUUAUGAUAGGUGGAUGGAAUAACUUUCAUCUUAUGUAGGUACGACAACCUUAUGAUGGUGUUGUACGACGGUAAAUCCUCUACUAUAGAAAAUCAUACGUUGAGAGUAGGCGGGUUGGCUUGGACAAGAAGUACCACGUCGCAUAGUGAUAUUGUGGCAACCCUAUUAAACCCAAACAAAAGUCGAACUAGAUUUUCUAAGGCAGAUGACGAACAUCCCAUUUUCCUGUAGGUUGACAUAUGCAAUAAAUUGGAAUGAUCAUUUUAGGAAGGAUCACUUGAUUAAUGUUAAUUGAAGGGAAAGUGAUUGGGUCAUUGACUGGUCGGGCACUUUCGACAGUAAAUGUGCACUGAACUGCACUUACUCUUUCCCUCCCUGUAGUCGCACAGAGCAUUCGUCUCCUUUGUUGUUUGGAGUGAUAUUUGUCAUCUACUAUUUCCCCAUGGAUAUAGUUAAUCACUACUCGAUGUGUUGUGGGAGAGUCAGGAACUCACUCUGACACUUCACGUGUCAUUUCUUUAUGUCCACCAGUUGCUCAGACAUACAACUUGAGAUGUCCGGUAAUGAUUAGUUUCUCCACCAAGUAGUGCAAAUUUUUGCACUCUUCUGUGGUGUGCCCAUGCUCCUUAUGAUAGAAUCAUCGCAAUCCUCGAUCAUGCUUGGACGAAUCAGUUUUGAUGGGCUCUAGCCACUUGAACUCGAGCAGCUCUCAAAUCAAGAGGAGAAUUCUAUCAUAAAAAAUGGUCAACGGGGUGAGCCUAGGCGAUUAUCAUUGUUGUUGUCUUUCUUGUCCUUGAUUAGUCUAUCUAGACUGGCUUGAGGGCUUUAAGCUCUUAGCCUUCUUUUUUAAUUGCUCGGUUUAUAACCAGGAUUUGUUGAGAGGUUACCUAAACAUCCUCCUCAAGCAUGACAUGUUUGCCCACUCGUCUAAAUAGGUCAUUCAUUGUAGUGGGCAACUUUUUGGCCAUGGACUUGAAGAAUUGAGUGCUUGGACUGAUGAUCCAUUUGAAGAUCUGCAGGAUAGCAUCCAUGUUGUAAGAUUCCAUCUAGAACACCGCUUGUCUGAAUCACUUCAUGAAGUCCCUUAGCGAUUCAUUCUCCUACAUCUGAAUGUUCUAUAAGGUGCUUAUAUUCUGCUUUUGGCGAGCAAAACAUAAAUAAUGGCCCACAAAGGCCUCUAAAACAUCUGUCAUCUGUUGUUGGAAGUGCAUCAGGUGAACAAAAGAGUCACCAUCCCAUAGUAAAUAGUAAAUUUGGGCACCGGAAACCCCUGGGCAGCUCAUAACUAAUGAUAUGUGGGUCAAACGACAUGAAGAGCAUGUCAUCCAAUCAUCUACUUAUGGAGUCAAGAGGGGCUUUUGUCAAUGGGUUAUUUGUCGAUUGUAGUUCUAGUAUUGAACAUUAAGGCAGACGGCUUGGUGAUGCCUCAUCGUUUGAUUGGCCUAAUUGUGCUUUCAAGGCCUCCAAUAUGCAUGGCGAUGCUAGUGUUCUUCUCUCCUGAUACCCAAGAUAGGCUUUCAGGGCAUCUGAGAGACGUAAGCCCCAUUCUUAACCCAUUUUCCAUUUUUCUCCAAUAGAGCUUGCAACCUCUUUCGCUUGAGUUCGAUCGACUACUGAAUGCACUAGUUCAAGUAAUGUUAGCGAACUGCUAGUAGACAAUCCCUCAUCCACUGUUUGUAGAGACGACUUAGUGUAUCAUUGAAGAACUUUCAUUGUUUGGCUUCAAACUACUCUUGAAGUCGUCUAUUGGUUGGAGGUACGAUGACUUUUUUAUCAGCACCCCAUAGCCACUUGUGCUCGUAGCUCUUGGUUCUCUUGCUGUAGUUGUUCUGCCUGUUGGACAGGGACUACAUAGGUUAUUCAUAUUCUUCUUGCUUUUUUUCUAUCUUUCCUUGCCAAGCUUGGAAUCGCUCGUCAACAUUUGCAGAAUGAGUUGCAGGAGGCGUGUUAACCAUCGUGUUUUUUAGGCAUUUGUGGUUGAUUCCCAUAGACAAUGCCAAUGUUGGUGCACGACCAGUAAAAAAAGGUGUUUGGCUAGUCUCCAUGUAACAUAGAUGACGAUUGCACCUGCACAAAGGAAUGUCUGAAUGGGUUUUUCAGGUACACCUUUCCAAAGCUUAGGUCAGAAAUGGAAGACUUAAGCAAGAGUUUUUGUGGAAAAAUUGGUAGCAUACUUUUCUUGUGGUUAAGAAUAACUAUUUAUCUUUGUCCAACUAUAAUAUCUUCUCAGAUGCCUUAAUUGAGCCUUUGAUUGUGCAUUAUCAUCUUUAAUGUCAAUGAUAGCCAACCCAUAAUGGUUGUUGUGUCUUGAUGAACCUUAAAGGUUGGCGUUUUAACCUCAUAAUGAUUGCAUCCAUCAAUGCGUUAAUGCACUAAUUGCCUAUUGCAAUUAAUGCUUGUUGGGCAAGAAUGCAUAGUGCCCGAUUAGAUUGUGUUUGUUUGGUACCCUAAGAGUACCCUGGGGUGGACAAAAAAGCCACAUGGCUCUUGUUCUAACAUGUCUCGACUAGACAGUGUUUGAGGAUCAUGUUAGAUGGUGAUGAGCAUCCCACAGUGAAGACGUAUGAUGAAAGCAAAGGUAGGGCUUCUAAACCAAACGCUUUUAGGGAUUUUUUUUUUUUUUUCAACAAAGUUGACCUCUUCAAGGAAAAAAAAAAAGGUUAAAAAAACUAUUGCUUUUUUGGAUCCAAAUCACCAUUUCCAAUGUGAUAUUUGGAUUUCCACCAUGUAUUUUUUUUUUUUUUAACAGUCAAGGACAUUUUAUGGAUUAUUGAAAGAUAAUAUCUUUCAACUUAAUUUCCUACAUUAAUUAAGUCUUAGGCUCAAAUGUGAAACUUAAGUGGUUGUUAGGCCAUCAAACCCAUCUGCCCUAAAGUAUAAUUUCCCAUUUUCAAAAUAUAUAGUUGUUAAACAUCUAUCCCAAACUAUUGUAACCCUUUGAAGUGCUUGGUAUGUUAACCUUGUUUCCUUUUCCUUAUGCAACAUGGCUAAUUGAUUGUUGCAUUGAAUCAUUAUCAUUCACCAAAUCCAUUCAACUAUGGACUUACCUUUCAAAUCCCUCUAACAAAAAUGGUAAUUCCAAAACAACUCAAGUCUAAUGUUCUCAACUCUUUCAAAUGAUUUAAUUAAUUGGUGUUUGAAUAUACCUCUUAUAUUUUUUUAGAGCAAUUUUUAGGCACAUAACAUAAAUUUCUAAUUUUUUUUUAGAAAAGGUUUUAUAUUUUAUAUUUUAUAUUACAACUUCCCCUUUUUUUUCCAUCUAAAAAACAAAACAUAAAACCUUAAUAACCGAGUUUUGUCACAAACCCUUAACAAAUAAUCUAUUUUCCAAAAAUUACUUUAACAUCUUUAAACAUAUUGAUUUAGUAUACUUUACUUUUAAUAUUUUUUGAAAAAUAUUUUUAUUUUAUAUGAUUAUUAAUUAAUUAAGAUUGAUUGGGUAUGGUAGAAUAUAUAUUCCAAAAUACAUCGUAUUGAGAACAAUAUCACAAGAUAUUAUAUCCAUAUCUUAACAUAUUAUAUACUUUUAUUUUGUGCAAUUAGCAAUUGGACGGAAGGUAGGGAGCCGGCUUAAUGGAAAUGUCGCAUCUCACGUGUGUCCCUUCCCUUACCAAGUCUCAACAAAGGAUGAAAAUAUCGGUAAUCACGGAUAUAUCGGUACUUCGAUUUUACGGAUAUAUUAGAUAUAUCAGAGAUAUAUUGACGGAUAUUUUGGAAAAAAAUAUCGAUAAGCCUAAAAUUGAUCAAAAUUUAUAAAAAUAUAAAAAAAACUUCAUAAAAAUGUAAUUAAAAGAAGGUCGUAUAAGUUACUCAUGUUGAUCAUGUGAUAUAUCACGAGAUAUAAUCGAUUUUUGGGAAUUUCUCACGAAAAUAUCGCGACAUUUCUUCCUUGUCUCGACUGCUCCAAGAUUUCCUAUACGCCCUUCUUCGCUUAGCUCUUAAGUCUUUUCUUCUCCUCUUCCUCAAACCCAUCACAUUUCGCCGCGUGGAGCUAAGUCUCAAGGUCCUUUUGUUCGUACGAUGUAUGUUCCCCCAAUUCCUCAUCUACCUUGAAACUCCAUACUCGCCAUCUACUCAACCACUUCUCUACUCUAGAGUCUGGAUGCUUUAUCUCCGCGAGUGUCGAUGGCUCUUCACCCCAGCGAGUAUGGAAUUACAAGGGCAAUAUCGUCAUUAAAGACACAACAGGCAAACCAAUGGCAUUGUCUUCCUUUUGGUCUAUUUUAUUUAUGCUGUAAGUAUUCGUGCUUGACUUCUCCCGCGUCUCUUAUAAAAACUAAAGAAAACCACUCCAACAGAGCACACUUCAAGAAUCUUCUUUUUUUUUUUCUUUCCUCUUUCUCUUUACAUAUAUACUGAGAAAGCCCAGCUCAUCCCUCAAUUCCCAGAUGGGUUUUAUGAAUGUUCUCAAGUUCUCAGCUGCAUGCUUUGAUAUUCUUGCCUGGUAUGUUGUCCACGCAUUUUCUCGCCAUUGGAAAUUUUUGGAAAAUGAAGUGGAAUUCUCUGUUUGAGGACAAACAUGGGAUUUUCUUUGAUUUCUCCCUGUUGGUUUUAUCUAUAUUCUUUGGAUUACCCACAUUCUUGUCAUUGAUUGUUAGUCAUUUGUUUGGAUUUCUACUUGCAGGCCUCUAUUUGCACUGGGUUAUCCUCUGUAAGUCUUGGUCUUACACCUCAAGAUAUGAUGAUUCAUUUACUCUUUUCUUGUUCUACGAAUAGUUCAGUUACAUUUAUUGUGUUGGGAAACUGAAAAGGGAAAGGAUUAUUCUUUAUUAUCGUAAUAAUCAUCAACAUCAUCUCGGUUCUUCACAGAUGUUCUUCAAUUCGGGCAAUUGAGACUAACUCAAUCUCAGACUUUCGGAAGUUGGUGGCGUAUUGGGUUCUAUUUUCCUUGAUUUCACUCUUUGAUCAUGCUUUUUCCAAGCUCCUUGAAUGGUAAUUUUGCUCAACUGCGUUCCACUAUAUGUGACUCUGUUUGUUUCAUUUCUUUGCCCUUAAGGAAUUUGGAGUUGCUUUUUUCAGUUUUCUUUCCUAUGAAAAUAAUCGAGAUGUUUAAUGUUCCAGGCCUCCAUGUAUUUUAUAUUCCUUCAUUUCUCUGCUUUGACAAAUGCUCACAAUCUGAUCAGCAGAAAGGUUAUAACAUUUGAAAAAGAAGUGGUUUAUUUUUGUUUUUUUUAAGUACAAUAAUUUUCGUUUGGAUAAAUGGUCUGAAGGGUGUUUGUGUUUGGCUGAGUUCAUGGAAUUUUCAAGCUAAUUUGGGAUUUAUUCUCAAUUUCAAGAUCAUUGUGGAUAUGUCAGAAAUUAAUGAAAUAUAAAUGGUGGAAUGUGAUUUUCUUGUUUAAGAAAAGUUUUUCUUUGAAAAUGCGGGUGCACCAGACCUACCUUAUUGNNNNNNNNNNNNNNNNNNNNNNNNNNNNNNNNNNNNNNNNNNNNNNNNNNNAUCAGAUUCAACUGUGAUAGCCCGGAAUUUAAUUCAGUAUUCGACUCUUCUGGGAACAUGUUGGUUAUGGUUUCUCUCUCACUGUCCUCUUCUUUACACAUGACUUUUCAGUUGAGGAGCACAAAGCCUAAUGUUGAAGUGAAAGAGAUCAAAGCACCUGCAGCACCGGAGAAAAAAGGGGAACAGGUAAGUACUCUAAUGUGGCUAUUUAAUUUCUAUGGAGGCAGAUCCCCAGAGAAAUGCUGUUCAUGUAAAUUACUGAUGCAUUUGAUUCAAUGGCCACGGUUUUAAAAGAAAAACCACUUUAUGUAUGUUUCUGUGAAUGAGAGAACAAGUUUAUGGAUUAAAUGAUAUUUUUUAUGGUGAAAUAAUCAAUAAUUUUCAAAAUAAUAAUACAUUCCUGCAUGUUUUUGCAAUUCAUGAAUUCCUUUUAUGAUUGAUUCUUCUCACCUUUUUUCUCACCUCAGUGGAAGUGUGAAGAGCCUAAUGUUGCUCAAAAAGAGAUCCAAGUAGUCAAAGUAACAGAGAUAAAAAAUGGGGGGGAUGGAGCAAAGAGGGUAAGUUUUGCUUUUUAUUUAUAAAGUAGGCUGUCUUCACACAAGGAUUAUUAUUAUUAUUAUUGUUAUUAUUUUAAGACAUGAAUGUUGAAUGAUUUUGGAAUUGUCCUUGAAUCAUGUGAAGUGUGAAUGGUCUAAUGCUGCUAAGGAGGAGGUCAAAGUGACAGAAGUAACACAGAGAACAUUUGGUGGUACAGCACAGUGGGUAAGGUUUCAUGUCAUAUUUAAAUGGCUCCUCAUAUUUCACUAGGAUUAAUUUUGCCCCUACAAACUAUUUGGCUACAAGUUAAGACAGAGUUCCAGAUGCUGAUAAAGCUGAGACAUAAGUAAUGAACGAAUUUAGACACAUGCACAACUCUUGUGUGAAACACAAUGAGAGUGGAAAAUAGCUAAGUUGAAAAAUGGCCAAAUACUAUUUUGUAGUUCCCCCUACCACUUAAGUAAUUUUUGUCAUCCUUUGUGAAUGGAAAAUGCAGUCCCUUCAGUAAUUCCAUUAUAUUCAUGACUUGGUGAAGCAUAUAACCAUUAGUGUCUUACCCUAAGUCGACCUUUAAUGAUGAUCCAUUGAGAUGGGUCUGACUUUUGUCAACCCUCUUAUUCCCUUGAUCAUAGAGGUGAAACUUAGGGGGCUUAACCCACUUUUCAAUCUUAUUGGAUAUAUGGCACGUGGUAUCCUCUUCAUCUUGAAAGAGUGAAGUGGUCAUACUCUUUCCUCUGAGUCCAUUGUGGCCAUGCACUUCAGGCUCAUUGGGCUGAGUGAAAGGAUUCCCUUCUGCUUCAAAUCAUAGAGAGAUAUGCCAUGGUCAGCCUCUUUAAUUCAAGGGAUUGAAGUACUCAAAUCCAUUUCUCUGUAUCCAUCUUAGUUCUGCAUUCAUGUCUCAUGGUUAACCAAGAAGAUCCAGCCUCCAUCCAUGAGAUCAGCAUCUGCAGGUUUAUGACACCACCCUUCCUUUGCAUAGGAAAGGGAUCAUUAAGCCAUGUGUCGGAUGACAGAAGUCAUCAUUCAGGUUAUCUUGAGAACUAAGGAAGUUGGAAUUCUAAUUAUUGCAUAUGGUUCUUGAUGUUUAGCCAAUAUACUAUAGGAUUUUAAGCAUCAUGCUCACGUGCAUUGUGGUUGCUUAUCAGCUAUAUGGUUUGCCAAAAUGAGGGACUGAUUAUGGUCAUAAGUACCUUUUUCCCAUUAAUUUCUUGCAUGUGCUCUGCUGAGAUUAUGUUUUUGACAGUCCAAAUCAGGGCAAACCAACAAACAGCUUUAUGUUAACUUUUACAAACUGCCAUAUUUUCAGGUUAAACAAACAGAGAUAAAUCUUGGUGAAACUAGAAGUAAUACAACCUGUGCUGUGGAGAUAAAAGAAAGGGCAGCAGCACUGGUGGCUGCAGAAAUUGAGGCAUGUAGAGACGAUAGAACCCCCAAGAUACCUCUUCAUGAGAAAGUCCAGAAAGAGUGGGCUUGUGCUGUGUGCCAGUUCACAACCCAAACUGAAGCGACCUUCAAUUCCCACCUUCAAGGGAAGAGACAUCAGGCCAUUUCUGAGCAGCUGAGAGCCAAAAAUCAGGCAACCAAAACCAAUUGUUCCCCAUCUGCUUCAAUGGCCAAGAAAUCUGAUCAGUCCACCAAAGAGGAGCAACCGAAGUGUACUUCCAAU
rnacentral:lncRNA from 1 species